AGCAUGAGGCCCAGCCUGCAGAGAGCCAGAGAAAGAUUCUGAUGUGAUGGAGCAAGUGACAUGAUUUGCAGGUGCUUUUGUGGAGCAUUUCGUGGCUUGGCGACUUAUCCAGGAGUGUCUGAAAACAACCAUUUCAAAAUAAUCCUUCCAGAGGAAAAAUUUCACGGGAUCCCAGCCCUAGACAAAGAGCUACAGGCGACUCAUGACUGCUGGGAGAAGGAGAGCUAGUUUCUUGUGGAUUGUCUUAUGCAGAAUGACACUGAUGUGGCAUCUGUUGAGAUGAGAUCAUAGAUAUGAGAGGAGGAAGAAAGCUAAGUGAGAAAAGUCCUCCUCAUGUUGUAGUAACAGCCUGGAGACAGAAUAUUAAAAGCUCGGAUUAUCAUCCUCAUUGGACGUGAAGACCUGCCACUGCCUCAUUGAAGCUGUUAAUGGAUCUGGGGACUGAUCUGUACGCAUGACAUAUUAACAAUUUGGAUGCAGGAUUUUUGAUAUGGAUUGAAAAGCAAAGGUUUCUACAUUAACUCUGAACUUCGGGACACCGCACAGUGUCGAAGAGAGAAGUUGCAGUGACAGUGACACAGAAAUGAAAUGAAUUAAAAUUGUCACUGACAAUAAAGCUGGAAGCGACAGUAGGCAGGAAAGGCUUGUCCCUGAAAACCUUACAGCUUCGCCGCCGACGCUGGAGGGAGCGGUAAUUGAAGGUAGUUAUAGACCCGGAAAAAGAAGAAGAAGAAGAAAAGCAAUAAUGUGGAAGUCAUACCCUGUCUGGAUGGGAGGGCUAUUAUUUGGUUUAAAACUGCAGAAUGCAUUUAUGACUUCGGCGGAAGACAGAUACUGACCUUGAUGUGGUACAGAUUUGAAAUGGGAUUGGAGAGCCUGGAUGUCGGGUUGUCACUACAGCAUGAAGGGCACCCGUAUAAGAUUGUUCUUGCACCAAACAGGUGGAGUGUGAGGUUCCAUUUGUUCGAGGGCUGAGCACCUGCAGACACUUGUGUCGUAGGUCUAGACUCUAAAAGCUAGAAGAGAGAAUUUCUCCUUAGAGAGUGCAUGCAUAUGCAGGUGUGCCACUGUGCAUUAAGGGGAAAGCUGGGUAUGGAAUGAGGAGUAAGAAAUUUGUGUGUGUGUGUGUGUGUGUGUGUGUGUGUGUGUGUGUGUGUGUGUGUAUGUGUGUAUAUGUGUGUGUGUGUACGUGUGUGUAUAUAUGUGUGUGUGUGUGUGUAUGUGUGUGUGUGUGUACGUGUGUGUAUAUAUGUGUGUGUGUGUGUGUAUGUGUGUGUGUGUGUACGUGUGUGUAUAUAUGUGUGUGUGUAUAUGUGUAUAUGUGUGUGUGUGUGUGUGUGUGUUCAUCCCACAGUGUCCAUGUGGUAGUCAGAGGCCCAUGCCAUUGUCAGUUCUUCCCUUCUACCAUGUGGGUCCUGAAGAUUGAAUUCACGUCAGCACGCUUGAAAGCAGGAACUUUUACCACGGAGACUGCACAUAGUCCAUGGCUCUCCCCUUGCUGCUUAUGUUGCCUGAGUUUUUAUCCUUCCUACUUCUCUUUUCAGACUGCCAUCAAGCACAGGUACAGGAUGAAGUGAGAGCAAAAAACUACUACUCUGUCGGUAUCAAUCACCAUAUCAAGUUCUUCCCACUACACUGGACCAUCUAAAGGGAAUGUGGACUUUUCUGCUAAUGCUGUAGAGUUAUUUCUCAUGGAGGUAUUUGGUGUUAGUGAUUAUCAGAACACUGGGCAAAACUAUAAAGAUGGCGCAAUUUAAAUCUUCGUUAUUUCUCUAUGAACUUCUGGUUUCCUCUUUGACCUGCUUUCCAGAGAUCCUGGUCAGAACAUCACCACGACACUGGAGAGGUAGGGUACCCCAGAGGAAAUGCAACAGGAAAGGUGUUUCUGUCAGGGUAUCCUCUUCUGUGAUAAAACACCAUGACCAAAAGCAAUGUGAGGAGGAAAGGGUUUAUUUCAGUUUAUAACUUUCAGGUCACAGUUUAUCACUGAGUGAAGUCAGAAGAGCAGGCAGAGGUUGAUGCUGAGGCCAUGGAGGAAGCCUACUAAUUGACUUCUCCUCAUGGUAUGUUUAUCCUGUUUUCUUAUAGGAUAAGAAAAUUAUUUUUUAUUUAUAUUAUUCAAAUUAUUAUUUAUAUAUAUUAUUCUUAUAGCACCUACUACUACACACCCAAUGGUGAUACUGCCCCCCUGUGAGACGGGUCCAACACCAUCAAUCAAUCAAGGAAAAAAACCAAACCAAACCAAACCAACCAAUUAACCAACCAAACAAACAAGGAAACAAACCCCACAGCCUUACCACAGGCCAAAAUGGUGGGGAAAUUUUCUCAAUUGAGAAUCCUUCUUACCAAAUGACCAUGGCAAGUUUACAUGAAAACUAGCCAGCACAGAAGUCACCAAGCAAGUGAGAGAUUUUAAGAGUUAUGUUAAGGAUAGACACCUCAUCCUACAAUUUUGACUCCAGCCACAAUCCAUUCCAACUUACAUAAAGUUACUGUGUUGUGUGCUCCUUGUAUGAUAUGGUACAUGUGAAUGUACUUGAUAUUCUGCAUAUCAUGUGUCUAGAAUCUUAGAUCAUAAAAGGCUAUCCUGUGAUGAGACACCAUGAACACGUAGAAGAAAGAGUUGAUUUGGACUUAGGGUUUCAGGGGGUCCAUAACCAUCACAGUGAGGAAUGUGGCAGCAGGAUUCUGGCUGGAGCAGUAGCUGAAAGAUUACAUGUUGGCCCACAAUACUAAGGCAGAGAGGAUUAACUGGGACUACCCGGGAUUUUGAAAUCUCAAAGCCAGCCCAAAGUGGCAUACCUCCUCCUAUAAGGUCAUACCACUUAAUCCUUCCCAAACAGUUGACAGUUCUACUACCUGAGAAACAAGUAUUAAAAUAUAUGUGUCUGUAGAUGCUGUUCUCAUUCAAGCCACCACAGAAGAUGGAAGAUUUAUGGUCAUCAACUGUUGGUCUAGAAUAACUGGAUGAAUAAUCAUGGAACUAGAUGAUAUAUGGAUAUAACAAAAGGAAGAAGUUUGGAGAGAAACAAGAUGAGCUCCACUUUAGAUAUGAUUUUGAAAGUACUAUAAAGUUUCAUAGUAGAAUUAUCUAGUAGCAUGGGGCUAGAACAAUAGCCCAUUGGUGAAGAAUAUCAGAACAUGCGCUGCUGUUGCAGAUCUAAAUUCAUUUUCUAGUACUCAUGUCAGGCAGCUCAUAAGCACAUUUAACUCCAACUCCAGGAAAUCAAAUUCCCUCUUGAGGACUUCACAGGCACCUGAAUUCAUGUGUGCACAAACAUGAACAGACAUAAUUAAAAAUAAGAUACUUUAAUAUGAGUUAUCCAGUAGUUAACUAACAUAUAAAAGUGAAUUUAGAAGCAAGAGAAGUUAUAUGAAUUUUGAGAAAUAUAUUUCAGAUCUUUACUUGGCAUGUAUAUAUUUGAUUUUGAAUCACACAUAACAUGAUUUUAUAAUAAAAUAUAUCUUUGUAUUAAAAAUAAAGGGGGUGUCUCAUGAGGAUGAUGAGGACAGACCUGUUCACCAAUAUGAGACCAGUGUAUGAGAGCUGAGUAAAGAAAAAAAUGGGCGUUUUCUCUAUGGUGCUUCUGUCGGAGGGGUAGAUAGAUGAGCAGACAUCAUUCAGCAGUGGUUAGAUGGGUUGUGCUGGAUAGUUUUUUAUCUCAACUUGACAUAAGGUAGAGUUAUCUGAAAGGAGAGAGGCUCAAUUGAGAAAAGCCUUCCAUAAGAGCAGGCUAGAGAGCAUUCUUCUUAAUUAAUGACUGAUGGGGGAGGACCCUGCCUAUUUUGGCUGGGGCCAUCCCUGGGCUUGUCAUCCUGGGUUCUGUAAGAAAUCCAGCCUAGCAAGCUAUGACUUCCUUCAAUGAUGAAUAGUGAUAUGGAAGUGCAAGCCAAGUAAACCCUCCCCAGCCCUGCCCAAGUUGCUUUGGUCAUGGUGUUUUGUCACAACAAUAGUAACCCUAACUUAGAGAUAUUUUCACAAUCAUAUCUCUGCCUCUCUGUGUAUGAUAUAAAGUAAGGUAUUGGAGGUGUUUUUCCAGGCUGUGACAGUUUUUCUUAAUGUAGCCCAGUUCUGCCACAGGACUGAUAGCACAUUAGAGACUCAAUAAACUUUGAAUGGGUAAACACAAAGGAACUCUAGGUUGGGAGGGUACCAUGGUGCCAGAGCUGGUGGAGGGAGCAGGCACUACUGUGCUGCUGUGGCUGGCCUGAAAGUUUCUCUUAUAAGGUAAGGCAUCAAUGGAAACAGUCUAGGAGAGGAAAACUAACAACAGUAUCAAUAUCAUCAACAAUGGCAUUGUGAGUUUACUGUUUGCCAAUUGUUGUUGUAAAAAGCUUGCAUACAUCAUCAUAAUUCAUUAGUGUAUCAACUCUAUGAUGCAGAAAAUUGGUCUGAACAGAAAAUGCCUGGAGCCUAGUUCUUUGAAGUGGGACGUUUAGGUGGAGGCUUAGUGGGGGAGCAUGAUUUGUAGAACUUGGAACAGAGACUAUAUGUCAAGUUAGAAAUGGAUUUGUUUAUUCCAAGGUUUAGCCUCGAGGUCCAAGUUAAGGAACCAGAACUACUAGCUGUAGAGACAGAUCUGAUGUUUGGGAUGUGAGUUGGACUCUAGAGUUGUAGAACUUCUGCCUGGUACUUGAUCUUUCCCUUUAUACCUCUAGGCAUGCCUCUCUCUACAGCAAUCUCUCUAUAGAGAUUACAUUCACCUAUCCAAUAUUGUAAAUGAUCAUCAGUAGCACCUAUGGAGCUCAUGAAGCUGAAAGCAGGGCUUUAUCUCAGGCCAAUAAGGUAAGAACCUGCUGUGGGAUGUUCUGUAUGGCAAAUGUGUUGCUGAUUAGUCAUUAAAUAAAACACUGAUUGGCCAUUGGCUAGGCAGGAAGUGUAGGCGGGACAAGGAGGAGAAUAAAGCUGGGAAGUGGAAGGCUGAGUCAGAGAGACACUGCCAGCCGCCAUCAGGACAAGGAAGAUGUAAAGUACCGGUAAGCCACAAGCCACGUGGCAAGGUAUAGAUUAAUAGAAAUGGAUUAAUUUAAGCUGUAAGAACAGUUAGCAAGAAGCCUGCCACGGCCAUACAGUUUGUAACCAAUAUAAGUCUCUGUGUUUACUUGAUUGGGUUUAAGCGGCUUGGGACUGGCGGGUGAGAGAGAUUUGUCCUGACUGUGGGCCAGCCAGGAAAACUCUAGCAACAAAUGGCGUCCAACGUGGGGCAAGAGUUUCCACCUAAAAACUGAGAAAAAGGAUUCUAAAACGGAGCUAAAAACAGUUCCUAAUUGUCUCUCUCAAAUGAGCGGCAGCUGCUGGUUUGAGCUACUGGUGGGUUCCUUGCAUGCGAGCUCAACCUGCCAUAUGGCGGGAGUGGGGCCUUUGCAAGUGGCACUUUGAGCUGCGUGGUGGAUUUAGCCUUUGCUGGUGCAGAGCAACAGGGGAGGUUUCUGGACUACACGCUGUUUGGAUAAAAGCAUAGACCCACAUAGCUCCCAGAGCUGGUGGUAAACGUAGCCAUGUUGGGAAGCUGAGGUGGGCGGAGCCAGCAGCCACAGCUGCUGCAGUUUAAGGCAAUAGAUUCACAGUAAGACAGAUUCAGAUGUAAUAGUUUAAAGUGUGUGUAAAAUAUAUGUAGGCUUGAAAGAGACAAAAAAUGUGAUAUAUAAAGUUAUAUAAACAAAUACAUAGUUUUAAAAAUAAAGUCUUUAAAGAGACAGUAAUAUUAAUAUAAAAAAUAAGCCACGUAAAGAUGAGUAUUACACAGAGAAUCUGGAUUGUGUUGUCUUUGGGACUUUUAACUGCAGAAAAACAUUUGAUUGUAAAAGCUGUUGAGUUAUGUCAAAAUGUAUACUUUAAAGGUACCUUGACUUCAAAAUUUGGAUGUAAGGAUAUGUUGCUUUGGAAAAGAGUCUCUUUUGUUUCCACAGAAAACAAGAGGCUAUGGAUUUGUUCCAGAGUAAGAUACAUCAGGUUUGACCAGCCAAGACUACCUGAAAGGUCUCUGAUGACACCAUGGCCCAGAUGAUCCAACAUCCAGAACCGUUUCAAGGCAACUGGCUCAGACGAUACACCCUCAUGGACUAUUCCAUAAUCCUAAAAUUUUCUUUGUUUCCCCAUAAGAUACAGCGUCCCCCUCCAGCAGGAAGUAGUAAGAGAAGCUACGCCCAAAUUCCCAAAUUAUAUGUAAUUUUACUUUGUUAAGGUUAAAACCUUCCUUUUUGAAAAAAAAAAAAAAAAAGGAAGUGCUGUGGGAUGUUCUGUAUGGCAAAUGUGUUGCUGAUUAGUCAUUAAAUAAAACACUGAUUGGCCAUUGGCUAGGCAGGAAGUGUAGGCGGGACAAGGAGGAGAAUAAAGCUGGGAAGUGGAAGGCUGAGUCAGAGAGACACUGCCAGCCGCCAUCAGGACAAGGAAGAUGUAAAGUACCGGUAAGCCACAAGCCACAUGGCAAGGUAUAGAUUAAUAGAAAUGGAUUAAUUUAAGCUGUAAGAACAGUUAGCAAGAAGCCUGCCACGGCCAUACAGUUUGUAACCAAUAUAAGUCUCUGUGUUUACUUGAUUGGGUUUAAGCGGCUUGGGACUGGCGGGUGAG